rnacentral:tRNA from 1 species
GGAGUUACUGGUUUAUUUGCAGCUUGCUGCGGCUCCCUGCAAACCCCUAAAAUCGCCCUCUCAAGGCGAAGAGUCCGGGUUCGAGCCCCGGUAACGCUACCA